ACAUAUAUAGCGAAGAGCCUUAUAUGUGUAGAAAUUAUGUAACAAAACCAAAUUAACCGCAUGUAAUUAAAUCAGUAUUUUAGUCUAGUUAAACAUUAAACUUAAACGGCUUUGCAAGCUUUUAUGGUUUAUUUUCCAGGAUUAAAAAAUCUGAGUUUGUGGCAAAGACUCAAUUCCAUUGUGCCAUUUCAUGCAAUAAUUUAUCCUCAAUAUUUUGAAUUACUACUACCGUCUGAUGAACGCCGAAAAAAAAACUUUAUUGAUCUCAUUUUAUUAUGGUAACAAACAGUACACUGUACAGUGAACAGUGAAUGUACAUAUAGCUGUACAGUGUACAGUGUACAGUGUACACAUCAAUACCAAACUUCUCUUUGUCAACCUAAUAAGCCCAAGAAAUUAAGAUUAUUCGGCUUGAACUAAUUUAUAAUUUAAUCCCUACCAAUACAAAAUGUAAUAUAAUCCUAAGUGAAUACAAUUUAAUCCUGAGUAAUACUGGAUACAAUACAAUCCUGAUUAAUACAAAUACAAUGUAAUCCCUACUAAUACAGAAUACAAAAUAAUCCUAUUAGUAAAGAAUACAAUAUAAUCUUGAGUUUUAAAGAAUACAAUUUAAUCCUGAGUAAUACAGAAUACAAUAUAAUGAGUUUUAAAGAAUACAAUUUAAUCCUGAGUAAUACAGAAUACAAUAUAAUCCUGAGUAACAAAGAUAUUAUGGGUCAGUUUAACUAUACCUCCGUUACUGAUGAAUAAGCUAUAAAAAAAAUAAUUUGAAAAUUUAUUUUCAUUAAUAUUAAAAAAGUAUAUUACACAAGCUUAUCACAGCCUUCUAUUAUAUUAAGCAUAACAAUUUAGCUUGUUAAUUUUUCAAUUGCAAACACUUUUUUUAUUUUACUCGUUCAUUUGAAUUUUAACAUUUUUCGUAUAAUGAUUGCUUUCUUGGUCUUGUUGGUAACCAUUGUAGUUAAAUUUUGUGCUUAAUAAUAAAGAUCGUCCAUUUGA